rnacentral:rRNA from 1 species
GAUGAACGCUGGCGGCGUGCUUAACACAUGCAAGUCGAACGGGAAUUACUUUAUUGAAACUUCGGUCGAUUUAAUUUAAUUCUAGUGGCGGACGGGUGAGUAACGCGUGGGUAACCUGCCUUAUACAGGGGGAUAACAGUCAGAAAUGGCUGCUAAUACCGCAUAAGCGCACAGAGCUGCAUGGCUCGGUGUGAAAAACUCCGGUGGUAUAAGAUGGACCCGCGUUGGAUUAGCUUGUUGGUGGGGUAACGGCCCACCAAGGCGACGAUCCAUAGCCGGCCUGAGAGGGGGAACGGCCACAUUGGGACUGAGACACGGCCCAGACUCCUACGGGAGGCAGCAGUGGGGAAUAUUGCACAAUGGGGGAAACCCUGAUGCAGCGACGCCGCGUGAAGGAAGAAGUAUCUCGGUAUGUAAACUUCUAUCAGCAGGGAAGAUAGUGACGGUACCUGACUAAGAAGCCCCGGCUAACUACGU